UACGAAGGGUGCAAGCGUUACUCGGAAUUACUGGGCGUAAAGCGUGCGUAGGUGGUUAUUUAAGUCUGUUGUGAAAGCCCUGGGCUCAACCUGGGAACUGCAGUGGAAACUGGACAACUAGAGUGUGGUAGAGGGUAGCGGAAUUCCCGGUGUAGCAGUGAAAUGCGUAGAGAUCGGGAGGAACAUCCAUGGCGAAGGCAGCCACCUGGACCAACACUGACACUGAGGCACGAAAGCGUGGGGAGCAAACAGG
rnacentral:rRNA from 1 species